rnacentral:rRNA from 1 species
UACGUAGGCAGCAAGCGUUGUUCGGAGUUACUGGGCGUAAAGGGUGCGUAGGCGGCGGGGCAAGUCUGAUGUGAAAUCCCGGGGCUCAACCCCGGAACUGCAUUGGAUACUGCCUUGCUUGAGUACUGGAGAGGAGACUGGAAUUUACGGUGUAGCAGUGAAAUGCGUAGAUAUCGUAAGGAAGGCCAGUGGCGAAGGCGAGUCUCUGGACAGUUACUGACGCUGAGGCACGAAGGCCAGGGGAGCAAACGGG